UACGUAGGGGCUAGCGUUGUCCGGAAUCAUUGGGCGUAAAGAGCGUGUAGGCGGUCCGGUAAGUCCGCUGUGAAAGUCGGGGCUCAACCCUCGAAUGCCGGUGGAUACUGUCGGGCUAGAGUGCGGAAGAGGCGAGUGGAAUUCCUGGUGUAGUAGUGAAAUGCGUUGAUAUCAUUCGGAACACCGAAGCGAAGGCAGGUUACUGGGUGCCACCUGACACUGCUAGGACGAAAGCGUGGGAGCGAAUGG
rnacentral:rRNA from 1 species